GAUGAACGCUAGCGGAAGGCAUAAUACAUGCAAGUCGAACGGAUGUAGCAAUACAUUAGUGGCGCACGGGUGCGUAACGCGUAUGCAACCUACCUUCAUCAGGGGGAUAACUACCCGAAAGGGUGGCUAACACCGCAUAAUACUAUUGAGUGGCAUCACUUGAUAUUUAAAUCUGAGGAGGAUGAAGAUGGGCAUGCGUCUGAUUAGCUAGUUGGUGUGGUAACGGCGCACCAAGGCGACGAUCAGUAGGGGAACUGAGAGGUUGGUCCCCCACACUGGCACUGAGAUACGGGCCAGACUCCUACGGGAGGCAGCAGUAGGGAAUAUUGGUCAAUGGUGGGAACACUGAACCAGCCAUUCCGCGUGCAGGAAGAAGGGUCUCUGACUUGUAAACUGCUUUAGCAAGGGAAGAAAAAGCUCAUGCGUGAGAAAUUGACGGUACCUUGAGAAUAAGCACCGGCUAACUACGUGCCAGCAGCCGCAGUAAUAC
rnacentral:rRNA from 1 species